UCCUUGGUAGCCUAGUGGUUAGGAUUAGGCACUUUCACUGCUAUGGCCUGGGUUCGAUCCCUGGUCUGGGAG
rnacentral:tRNA from 1 species